AUUGAACGCUGGCGGCAUGCUUUACACAUGCAAGUCGAGCGGCAGCGCGGGGGCAACCUUGGCGGCGAGCGGCGAACGGGUGAGUAAUGCAUCGGAACGUAUCCUGUAGUGGGGAAUAACUCACCGAAAGGUGAGCUAAUACCGCAUAAGCUCUGAGGAGGAAAGCGGGGGACCGAAAGGCCUCGCGCUGCAGGAGCGGCCGAUGUCCGAUUAGCUAGUUGGUGAGGUAAAGGCUCACCAAGGCGACGAUCGGUAGCUGGUCUGAGAGGAUGAUCAGCCACACUGGGACUGAGACACGGCCCAGACUCCUACGGGAGGCAGCAGUGGGGAAUUUUGGACAAUGGGGGAAACCCUGAUCCAGCCAUGCCGCGUGAGUGAAGAAGGCCUUCGG
rnacentral:rRNA from 1 species